AACGAACGCUGGCGGCAGGCUUAACACAUGCAAGUCGAACGCCCCGCAAGGGGUGUGGCAAACGGGUGAGUAACGCGCGGGAAUCUACCGUGCCCUACGGAACAAUAGUUGGAAACGACUGCUAAUACCGUAAACGCCAUACGGGGGAAAGAUUUAUCGGGAUAUGAUGAGCCCGCGUUGGAUUAGCCAGUUGGUGGGGUAAGGGCCUACCAAAGCGACGAUCCAGAGCUGGUCUGAGAGAAUGAUCAGCCACAUUGGGAAUGAGACACGGCCCAAACUCCUACUGGAGGCAGCAGUGGGGAAUGUUGGACGAUGGGCGCAAGCCUGAUACAGCCAUGCCGCGUGAGUGAUGACGGUCUUAGGAUUGUAAAGCUCUUUCACCGACGAAGAUAAUGACGGUAGUCGGAGAAGAAGCCCCGGCUAACUUCGUGCCAGCAGCCGCAGUAA
rnacentral:rRNA from 1 species